rnacentral:lncRNA from 10 species
GCUGAGGAGGUGGGUGAGUCAUGAAUGCAUCUCGGGAAGGAGUUCCCCAGGCUGAGGGAGCUGCACCUGAGGAAACCCAGGAGGCAAAGGUGGUCCUGGUCAGGAUGAUGAGGAGGUCCGUGUGGCUGGAGCAGGUGAGCUAGGUGGAGAGAGGCCGUAGAUGAGGGCAGAGCUGCUGCGGGAGCCAAACGUGUAAGGAUCUUUUCGGGCAGUGAGAGGACGUUGGUUUCUCACAGCAGAGAAGGGACAUCAUCUGACAUAUUUUAAAAGUAUCUCUCCGGCUCCCUUGUGGACUGUAAGGGACCAAGAGUUGAAACAGGCACCCAGGAGGAGUCCUUCCAGCAACUGAGAGGACUUGGUCCGAUUCUACCUCCGGAACAAUGCUCAGCCCACAGCCCUCAUUCCCUCCGUGAUGAACAGUAACUGUGGACUUUUGACCUUCCUCUUGAGCUUGGUCUGAGUCUUGGCAUUUACAACCACGGCUCUAGGUUUCUCCUGUCUACUUAUGUAUGAAUGACAUCAAACCAAUGAAGCCACUGUGAGAAAUCUGCCACUGAUACAUAAUUAUUUACUUAUAUUACCCAUAAGGAGAACAUUAUCUGUUUCUUAUCCAUUUAAUUAAGAAGAAAGACUACAGAAGAUAUUUGUUUAUUUCUCCUUUACAAAAUGUUUUCUAUCUGGCCAUGGCUAUAAGACAAAUA